CCCCAGGCAGGUCACAGCCGCUGUCAUCAUGGCCCUAGGCAGGUCACAGGUGCUGUCACGAUGGGCCUUGGGCAUGUCACAGGUGCCAUCAGGGUGGCCCCAGGCAGGUCACAGCUGCUGUCAUGAUGGCUCCAGGCAGGUCACAGGUGCCAUCAAGGUAGCCCAGGCAGGUCACAGGUGCCAUCAGGGUGGCCCCCGGCAGGUCACAGCCGCUGUCAUCAUGGACCUAGGCAGGUCACAGGUGCCA